GCAGAAGUGGAUCCUCCUGCACAACCAACAAGAAUGCAGCAAGUGGUUUCUGGAUGCUGCUGCUGUUCUUUCUCACUGCUCUGAGCUUUGUUUCAUUUGACAGUGAAAACUGUGUUCCCCUCCUCAUCUGUGUUCGCCUCCUCAUGAAAUGGAAAUAAAAACGGAGGAGCAUCAGAUCUUA